GAAUCUUUGUUGUGGUUGCCUAUAAACUAUUUUUAGCUUGUUUUUUACUAAUUUUGUUUUUCCUGUAAAGGAGGUUUAUUUAUUCAGAUGUUACCUUUUGUACAAGGGGUUUUAGAAGAUUGUGGUUUCACAUUUUUAGAUGCCUGGGGAAUUUUCUAGGGUUUUUUCUUGUUGUAUUUAUUUUAAAUUUUAGAAAGGAGUGACACGCUUUCGUCCUGGGGGAUAUCUAGUUUAUAAAAUUUUAAGGGUAAGCCUUAAUAGUUUCUUUUUUUGUAAGAUUUUUUUCAUUUUUCCUUAGUAGUAGGUGGGUGUGUUUUAACAAAAUUACUCGUAUGAUUGGGGUUGCAGCUUGAUUUAGUCUUUAAGUGAAUUAAAAUAUUAGUACUCUCUUUAAGCCUUAAGUCUUAGGUUUAUAAAAUUUGUGCUCUAAAAUUCUAAAAAUUUACUAUUUUGCUCCCAACAUGUUUAUUAAAAUCUUAGCUAUACUGUUUAUGGUGUCUUCUGCCCUGUGGGUUAUUGCCUUAAUGGCUGUGGUUAUCCACACUAAGGUAGCGAAGUCAUUAGUUACUUAAUUAGUAACAGGUAUGAAUGAAGGAUUUGGGGGUGUAUUAAAGCUUUGUAGGAAAUUAUACUUCUGUUGAAAAUAACAGACUUAGCCUUAAGACAAAAAGACCCUAGAAUUUUUAUAAAAUAUUUAUUUUAUUUGGUUGGGGCAAUAUUUAAAUUAUAAUAUUAUUACUGUUUAAAUUUUUUGAACUUUUAUUAAAGAUAGGUGGAAAAAUACUCUAGGGAUAACAGCUUAAUUGCUUUUUUUAGAUGUUAUUAAUAAGGUAGUUUGGGACCUCGAUGUUGGAUUAAGGUUGCUUUAAGGUGAAGGUACUUUAAAAGCUGGAUUGUUCAUCCAUUAAACCCUUACAUGAUCUGAGUUAAAGUCGGCGUGAGCCAGACUGGAUUUUAUCUAAGGUGUGAAGGUGAGCCCAGCUCAGUACGAAAGGACCUGCUGGUCGAGAGAUUCUUUUU
rnacentral:rRNA from 1 species